rnacentral:rRNA from 1 species
ACGCUGGCGGCAGGCCUAACACAUGCAAGUCGAGCGGUAGAGAGAAGCUUGCUUCUCUUGAGAGCGGCGGACGGGUGAGUAAUGCCUAGGAAUCCGCCUGGUAGUGGGGGAUAACGUUCGGAAACGGACGCUAAUACCGCAUACGUCCUACGGGAGAAAGCAGGGGACCUUCGGGCCUUGCGCUAUCAGAUGAGCCUAGGUCGGAUUAGCUAGUUGGUGGGGUAAUGGCUCACCAAGGCGACGAUCCGUAACUGGUCUGAGAGGAUGAUCAGUCACACUGGAACUGAGACACGGUCCAGACUCCUACGGGAGGCAGCAGUGGGGAAUAUUGGACAAUGGGCGAAAGCCUGAUCCAGCCAUGCCGCGUGUGUGAAGAAGGUCUUCGGAUUGUAAAGCACUUUAAGUUGGGAGGAAGGGCCAUUACCUAAUACGUGAUGGUUUUGACGUUACCGACAGAAUAAGCACCGGCUAACUCUGUGCCAGCAGCCGCGGUAAUACAGAGGGUGCAAGCGUUAAUCGGAAUUACUGGGCGUAAAGCGCGCGUAGUGGUUUGUUAAGUUGGAUGUGAAAUCCCCGGGCUCAACCUGGGAACUGCAUUCAAACUGACUGACUAGAGUAUGGUAGAGGGUGGUGGAAUUUCCUGUGUAGCGGUGAAA